AUGCAUGGUCUUUUAAUAGAGGGUUGUAACUUGAAUGUACUCGUGAUUAUGUUGAUGUUUGCAAUCUGUUUUGGAUUAUUCUUGCAGGGCUACAAUAUGCUCGUAGGUGAACUAUUUGUGUUAAUUCACGUAAUGCAUGUUACAAAGAAGUAUGGCUAUUUUGGAGAAGUUAGAUAUCAAAGAUGA